AGAACGAACGCUGGCGGCAUGCCUAACACAUGCAAGUCGAACGCUCUUGGUUUCGGCCAAGGGAGUGGCGCACGGGUGAGUAACGCGUGGGAACCUGCCCUGGAGUGGGGGAUAACCGAGGGAAACCUCGGCUAAUACCGCAUACGACCUGAGGGUGAAAGAUUUAUCGCUCUAGGAGGGGCCCGCGUCGGAUUAGCUAGUUGGUGAGGUAACGGCCCACCAAGGCUAUGAUCCGUAGCUGGUCUGAGAGGAUGAUCAGCCACACUGGGACUGAGACACGGCCCAGACUCCUACGGGAGGCAGCAGUGGGAAUAUUGGACAAUGGGCGCAAGCCUGAUCCAGCAAUGCCGCGUGAGUGAUGAAGGCCUUAGGGUUGUAAAGCUCUUUCACACGCGACGAUGAUGACGGUAGCGUGAGAAGAAGCCCGGACUAACUUCGUGCCAGCAGCCGC
rnacentral:rRNA from 1 species